GUCCGGCGAGGAAAGGACUUCAAAGGCAGAAUGUUCUCCUCUUUGCGCGGAUCACGGAAAUCAAAUCCGAUUUUCGAUCGGUUUAUAAAGUACAAAAUGCGAGGACAAAAGCUAGAAGCAUGUGGCUAAAAAGGCAGUCCUUUUAAAGGACAAUAACGAACUGU